CAGCUCCCUGUUCCAGAUUGAUAAUGAAUAUAUGUUUACAAGGUCUUCAGUCCAUUGUUUUUAUAGAGUUUUACUGAAAUACAGCCACACAUAUUCAGGUAUGUAUUGUCUAUAACAGCAGAGUUAAGUACUUGUGCAAAAGACUGUAUGGCACACAACGCCUAAAAUAUGUUACUAUCUGGCACUUUAUAGAGAAGAUUUGUCAACCCCUGGAAUAUAUCAGUCUACAGGUGUUAAUGGUGAUAAACUAUAUAUGGUAAACGGAAAAGAAGCUGGAGGGUCACAUGUCAACAGCAAACAGUUGGGAGGGAGUAAGAAGGUGACUUCCAUCCACUGUUUACAUUUUACACUUUGGAAUCAUUGCUUUAAUUUACUCUUUACUAAGUUAUAACUUACAGCAACAAGCACAAACCCUAAAUGGAUAGCCUGAUGGCGUGCCCACCAUCCCAAUCAACAUAUAGGACUUCCCUAGCACACCAGAAAGCUCCCUCAUGACCCAUCCGUCUCUAGAAACACCCAGAAGCAACAUCGAUUUUAACUUCUAUCACCAUGGAUUAAUUUUUCCUGCUUGUUAAUGUUGUAUAUACCCUUUUGUGUCUAGGAAAGGUAUUCUACAACUUCCUUGCUGACAACUCAGAAAACUGAGAAGACUAUCUGCUGGGAUGCUUACACUUUCCACAGGAAGGGGUAGGUAUUGGAUCUGUUCAGGGAUCUGUAGCUGCAGUUACUUUGUGAGGGCUCCAAUUGCCAUAGGUGGCAUACAGGAGGUCCACCUGGGCAGGGGGUUAAGGGAAUAGAUCACCUGCAAGGCUAUCUGGACCCUCAUCAGGAAAUUUCCCUCUACUUUGUGAGACUUCCUGUAUGUUCACAUAGUUUGCUUGGGGUAGGGGGAAGAAGGAUGGGUUUGCCGCCACCUGAAUUUUGAGAGAGAAGGGAGCUUGAGAGUCAGGCUGGGCACGGAGCAACUGGAACUACAAAUCAAAGUUUUGUUGUUAAAAGGGAAGUGAUGGCUGGUUUUUUAAUGGGUUUUACCAGCUAAACACAGAAACUGAUCUUCAUUACACUUGACUGCUUCUAUCAUGAUAGCAAAGAGAGACACAGACAAAGAGCGUGUUCUCCAGGGACAUUGACUCUGAACACUUCAUUAUCUUUGCUGAGGGGAGCUGGGUAGGCAGAGAAUGUUCUCCCAGGGGGCCCAAUUGUGAGGGG